GGCAAAGCUCCUCUGACUGCUGUGCUGCCUGAAUUAUGAUGCUAUCAAGAGGCAUCCAGGCUGCCAUGUCACACUGCUGAAUUCCAACCCCCUUUUCCCAGCACACAUUCAUCUCCAAAGAUGGAGUGCUGGCACAGAAUCCCAAGGGAAAAACCCCUCAUUAGCUCCUCUGACCCCACUGAACCAGCUCUGUUUUAGCUGGAAAUGAGACUGAGAGCCCUGGCUGCACAAACCCCACUCAGGAAGGGGCUUCUGCAAGGAUGUACAACAGAGCCAGGGCCAGAACAAAGCUCCCAGAUCCUUCUCCUGCCAGCUCCCCCCAGUGCAGCUCAUUUUGGGCAGCUCUGGCAGCAGGUCUGAGAUGGAACCAGGAAAGGAGACAAUUAAAGCCCUGAAGCACAACAAGAGGCUCACUCCAGCUGCACUGAGUAACUGAGAGACAACUCUGAGCAGAAUUUGUCUUCAAUCCCAAAGAAAUUAAUUUCCCAGCUAUUCCUUUGUUCAGCCCUGUGGGCUCAUCCAAGUGAAACUGGUACAAAGAUGCCAAAAUAAAAGCAGAGGUUGCUUUAAA